ACUCUGUCGCUGACCACUAGUGGUGCCAGCCCCACCGAUCAAAGGCUGCGACUUCAGGAGUCGGUCUUCAGCUCCUUUGGAGAAGUUAAGAGUUUUCUGCGGGAAUGGUUUGCCAAAUUCACCAAUAAUGUCAUAAACGAUGUUGACGAAGAUUCUGAAAAAGAUAGUCGACGGGAGAAAAGGGACCUAAAACCACCCAUAGAUUUUGAAGUCAUAGCCCAAGAAUAUUUGAGAAAUGAAACGAAAGAGUACUUGAUGCAGUUCUUAGGAUAUGCAGAAUAUCUUAAUGUAACCAACAAAGAGUCCCUAGACCAAAUUUAUCAGCGAGAGGAGCGCCGUCUAUCGACCAUGUCUCCAUCGGAACUACUUCAUUAUAUGACGUCACUUAGCAAAACGCUCAGUUCUGGUACCAGCGGAAGUACAAUAAAUAUUAAUGGACAAACAUUUGAUCUUAGCCAUGUUGGAAGUUGGUGUUGUCCAUUUUAAAAACUUCAUUUGCUUUGUGUCAGUUUUUAAUGUUUUAUUUGGUCUGUUUAUAAAACAAAAUAAUGAUACGAAAAUUAAAAACAAUCGCGAUAUAGU
rnacentral:misc_RNA from 1 species